UACGUAGGGAGCAAGCGUUGUCCGGAAUCAUUGGGCGUAAAGCGCGCGUAGGUGGCCCCAUAAGUCCGCUGUGAAAGUCAAAGGCUCAACCUUUGAAAGCCGGUGGAUACUGUGGGGCUAGAGUACGGAAGAGGCGAGUGGAAUUCCUGGUGUAGCGGUGGAAUGCGCAGAUAUCAGGAGGAACACCAAUAGCGAAGGCAGCUCGCUGGGACGUGACUGACACUGAGGCGCGAAAGCGUGGGGAGCGAACAGG
rnacentral:rRNA from 1 species